rnacentral:rRNA from 1 species
GUGGGGAAUAUUGGACAAUGGGCGAAAGCCUGAUCCAGCCAUGCCGCGUGUGUGAAGAAGGUCUUCGGAUUGUAAAGCACUUUAAGUUGGGAGGAAGGGCAGUAAGUUAAUACCUUGCUGUUUUGACGUUACCGACAGAAUAAGCACCGGCUAACUUCGUGCAAGCAGCCGCGGUAAUACGAAGGGUGCAAGCGUUAAUCGGAAUUACUGGGCGUAAAGCGGGCGUAGGUGGUUUUGUAAGUUGGAGGUGAAAUCCCCGGGCUCAACCUGGGAACUGCCUCCAAAACUGCAUGACUAGAGUACGGUAGAGGGUAGUGGAAUUUCCUGUGUAGCGGUGAAAUGCGUAGAUAUAGGAAGGAACACCAGUGGCGAAGGCGACUACCUGGACUGAUACUGACACUGAGGUGCGAAAGCGUGGGGAGCAAACAGGAUUAGAUACCCUUGUAGUCC